GCAUAUCAAUAAGCUGAGGAAAAAGGAAACUAACAAGGAUUCCCCUAGUAACUGCGAGUGAAGCGGGAAAAGCUCAAAUUUAAAAUCUGGCGGUCUUCUGGCCGUCCGAGUUGUAGUCUGGAGAAGCGUUUUCCGCGUUGGACCGUGUACAAGUUUCCUGGAACGGAGCGUCAUAGAGGGUGAGAAUCCCGUCUUUGACACGGACCCCAAUGCUUUGUGAUGCGCUCUCAAAGAGUCGAGUUGUUUGGGAAUGCAGCUCAAAAUGGGUGGUGAAUUCCAUCUAAAGCUAAAUAUUGGCGAGAGACCGAUAGCGAACAAGUACCGUGAGGGAAAGAUGAAAAGCACUUUGGAAAGAGAGUUAAACAGUACGUGAAAUUGUUGAAAGGGAAACGCUUGAAGUCAGUCGCGUCGGCCGGGACUCAGCCUUGCAUCCGCUUGGUGUACUUUCCGGUCGACGGGCCAGCAUCAGUUUUGACCGCGAGAUAAAGGCGGAGGGAAUGUGGCUCUCUCGGGAGUGUUAUAGCCCUUCGUCAGAUGUCGCGGUUGGGACUGAGGAACUCAGCACGCCUUUAUGGCCGGGGCUCGCCCACGUACGUGCUUAGGAUGCUGGCGUAAUGGCUUUAAACGACCCGUCUUGAAACACGGACCAAGGAGUCUAACAUGCCUGCGAGUGUUCGGGUGGAAAACCCGUGCGCGCAAUGAAAGUGAAAGUUGGGAUCCCUGUCGUGGGGUGCACCGACGCCCGGCCCAGACCUUUUGUGACGGAGCUGCGGUAGAGCAUGUAUGUUGGGACCCGAAAGAUGGUGAACUAUGCCUGAAUAGGGUGAAGCCAGAGGAAACUCUGGUGGAGGCUCGUAGCGAUUCUGACGUGCAAAUCGAUCGUCAAAUUUGGGUAUAGGGGCGAAAGACUAAUCGAAACCAUCUGAGUAGCUGGUUCCUGCCCGAAGU
rnacentral:rRNA from 1 species